rnacentral:pre_miRNA from 1 species
UUAACUCAAAUUUGUAUGGAGUUGGAACGUUUGCCUACGUUUGCCGCUAGGGGCGCUGUUCCAACUGCAUACAAAGUUGAGUUA